rnacentral:tRNA from 1 species
GGGUAUAGCUCAGUGGUAGAGUGUGUGCUUAGUAUGCAUGAAGUCCUGGGUUCAAUCCCCAGCAUCCCCA